rnacentral:rRNA from 1 species
GGUUAAGCGACUAAGCGUACACGGUGGAUGCCCUGGCAGUCAGAGGCGAUGAAGGGCGUGCUAAUCUGCGAUAAGCGCCGGUAAGGUGAUAUGAACCGUUAUAACCGGCGAUACCCGAAUGGGGAAACCCAGUGUGAUUCGUCACACUAUCAUUAACUGAAUUCAUAGGUUAAUGAGGCGAACCGGGGGAACUGAAACAUCUAAGUACCCCGAGGAAAAGAAAUCAACCGAGAUUCCCCCAGUAGCGGCGAGCGAACGGGGAGGAGCCCAGAGCCUGAAUCAGCAUGUGUGUUAGUGGAAGCGUCUGGAAAGUCGCGCGAUACAGGGUGACAGCCCCGUACACAAAAGCGCAUGUGCUGUGAGCUCGAUGAGUAGGGCGGGACACGUGGUAUCCUGUCUGAAUAUGGGGGGACCAUCCUCCAAGGCUAAAUACUCCUGACUGACCGAUAGUGAACCAGUACCGUGAGGGAAAGGCGAAAAGAACCCCGGCGAGGGGAGUGAAACAGAACCUGAAACCGUGUACGUACAAGCAGUGGGAGCACAGGUUUACCUGUGUGACUGCGUACCUUUUGUAUAAUGGGUCAGCGACUUAUAUUCUGUAGCAAGGUUAACCGAAUAGGGGAGCCGGAGGGAAACCGAGUCUUAAUUGGGCGUUAAGUUGCAGGGUAUAGACCCGAAACCCGGUGAUCUAGCCAUGGGCAGGUUGAAGGUUGGGUAACACUAACUGGAGGACCGAACCGACUAAUGUUGAAAAAUUAGCGGAUGACCUGUGGCUGGGGGUGAAAGGCCAAUCAAACCGGGAGAUAGCUGGUUCUCCCCGAAAGCUAUUUAGGUAGCGCCUCGUGAAUUCAUCUCCGGGGGUAGAGCACUGUUUCGGCUAGGGGGCCAUCCCGGCUUACCAACCCGAUGCAAACUGCGAAUACCGGAGAAUGUUAUCACGGGAGACACACGGCGGGUGCUAACGUCCGUCGUGAAGAGGGAAACAACCCAGACCGCCAGCUAAGGUCCCAAAGUCAUGGUUAAGUGGGAAACGAUGUGGGAAGGCCCAGACAGCCAGGAUGUUGGCUUAGAAGCAGCCAUCAUUUAAAGAAAGCGUAAUAGCUCACUGGUCGAGUCGGCCUGCGCGGAAGAUGUAACGGGGCUAAACCAUGCACCGAAGCUGCGGCAGCGACGUUUAUGCGUUGUUGGGUAGGGGAGCGUUCUGUAAGCCUGUGAAGGUGGCCUGUGAGGGUUGCUGGAGGUAUCAGAAGUGCGAAUGCUGACAUAAGUAACGAUAAAGCGGGUGAAAAGCCCGCUCGCCGGAAGACCAAGGGUUCCUGUCCAACGUUAAUCGGGGCAGGGUGAGUCGACCCCUAAGGCGAGGCCGAAAGGCGUAGUCGAUGGGAAACAGGUUAAUAUUCCUGUACUUGGUGUUACUGCGAAGGGGGGACGGAGAAGGCUAUGUUGGCCGGGCGACGGUUGUCCCGGUUUAAGCGUGUAGGUGUGUGUUCCAGGUAAAUCCGGUUCACUUUAACACUGAGGCGUGAUGACGAGGCACUACGGUACUGAAGCAACAAAUGCCCUGCUUCCAGGAAAAGCCUCUAAGCAUCAGGUAACAUCAAAUCGUACCCCAAACCGACACAGGUGGUCAGGUAGAGAAUACCAAGGCGCUUGAGAGAACUCGGGUGAAGGAACUAGGCAAAAUGGUGCCGUAACUUCGGGAGAAGGCACGCUGACACGUAGGUGAAGUGAUUUACUCAUGGAGCUGAAGUCAGUCGAAGAUACCAGCUGGCUGCAACUGUUUAUUAAAAACACAGCACUGUGCAAACACGAAAGUGGACGUAUACGGUGUGACGCCUGCCCGGUGCCGGAAGGUUAAUUGAUGGGGUCAGCGCAAGCGAAGCUCCUGAUCGAAGCCCCGGUAAACGGCGGCCGUAACUAUAACGGUCCUAAGGUAGCGAAAUUCCUUGUCGGGUAAGUUCCGACCUGCACGAAUGGCGUAAUGAUGGCCAGGCUGUCUCCACCCGAGACUCAGUGAAAUUGAACUCGCUGUGAAGAUGCAGUGUACCCGCGGCAAGACGGAAAGACCCCGUGAACCUUUACUAUAGCUUGACACUGAACAUUGAGCCUUGAUGUGUAGGAUAGGUGGGAGGCUUUGAAGCGUGGACGCCAGUCUGCAUGGAGCCGACCUUGAAAUACCACCCUUUAAUGUUUGAUGUUCUAACGUGGACCCGUAAUCCGGGUUGCGGACAGUGUCUGGUGGGUAGUUUGACUGGGGCGGUCUCCUCCUAAAGAGUAACGGAGGAGCACGAAGGUUGGCUAAUCCUGGUCGGACAUCAGGAGGUUAGUGCAAUGGCAUAAGCCAGCUUGACUGCGAGCGUGACGGCGCGAGCAGGUGCGAAAGCAGGUCAUAGUGAUCCGGUGGUUCUGAAUGGAAGGGCCAUCGCUCAACGGAUAAAAGGUACUCCGGGGAUAACAGGCUGAUACCGCCCAAGAGUUCAUAUCGACGGCGGUGUUUGGCACCUCGAUGUCGGCUCAUCACAUCCUGGGGCUGAAGUAGGUCCCAAGGGUAUGGCUGUUCGCCAUUUAAAGUGGUACGCGAGCUGGGUUUAGAACGUCGUGAGACAGUUCGGUCCCUAUCUGCCGUGGGCGCUGGAGAACUGAGGGGGGCUGCUCCUAGUACGAGAGGACCGGAGUGGACGCAUCACUGGUGUUCGGGUUGUCAUGCCAAUGGCACUGCCCGGUAGCUAAAUGCGGAAGAGAUAAGUGCUGAAAGCAUCUAAGCACGAAACUUGCCCCGAGAUGAGUUCUCCCUGAGACUUUAAGUCUCCUGAAGGAACGUUGAAGACGACGACGUUGAUAGGCCGGGUGUGUAAGCGCAGCGAUGCGUUGAGCUAACCGGUACUAAUGAACCGUGAGGCUUAACCUU